CCCGGCAUUCCUGACGCAUCACACUGCACUGAGCUAAUUGACAGCCGCAGCGAUGUUCCGCCUCAGCCGGUGAUACGCUGAGCGGCAGGGUGAUGUAACAGCCCAGGCCUUGCCUUCUUUCAGGUGCCCUGGCCCGUUACACAACACUGCCGCUCGAUUUAUCACCGGCCGAUAUGGGACAUCACGCAGUGCGACGCAAUGGACACAGAAUGAGGAAGAAGACUGGGCCCAGAAGACAGGACAGCAACAUCGCUGCAUCGGGGGAGCGUCAAAAGGAGACUAAAACAGCACUGAGGCCUCUUCAUCAUGCACUCAGUUCCCCGCAGUGGUGCAGAAGCUGCCGCGCACUGAAAUUUCGAGAUCACGUCGGCUGCAGGAGAAGGUCCGGCACCACUAACAGAGUGAACAAUGAAUAGACCCAAGGAAAGACGCAGUUGUUAGUCCUUGGGAAUUGCAGUUUAUCUGCUGUUAUCUGAAGUUUUCCACAUUGUAUUGUAGCCUGGUAACCGCAAUCCACAAGUACGUGCAGUUUAGCUUUAGAGGUGAAAGGAGAAUAAAAGAAAAC